rnacentral:tRNA from 2 species
GCCUGAGUGGUGAAAUUGGUAGACACAGCGGACUUAAAAUCCGCCGCCUACCCGGAAGGGAGCGUGCCGGUUCGACCCCGGCCUCAGGCACCA